GACGAACGCUGGCGGCGUGCCUAAUACAUGCAAGUCGAGCGAAGUUUUUCUGGUGCUUGCACUAGAAAAACUUAGCGGCGAACGGGUGAGUAACACGUAAAGAACCUGCCUCAUAGACUGGGACAACUAUUGGAAACGAUAGCUAAUACCGGAUAACAGUAUUUCUCGCAUGAGAGAUAUUUAAAAGUUGGUUAUGCUAACACUAUGAGAUGGCUUUGCGGUGCAUUAGCUAGUUGGUGGGGUAAAGGCCCACCAAGGCGACGAUGCAUAGCCGACCUGAGAGGGUGAUCGGCCACACUGGGACUGAGACACGGCCCAGACUCCUACGGGAGGCAGCAGUAGGGAAUCUUCCGCAAUGGGCGAAAGCCUGACGGAGCAACGCCGCGUGAGUGAAGAAGGAUUUCGGUUCGUAAAGCUCUGUUGUUAGGGAAGAAA
rnacentral:rRNA from 1 species